ACUUAAAAAUAUUGCUUGUCGAUUUUCUGUGCAAAUGUUCGUCGAUGUCGGUGAUUCUACUCAUCUUCGCUUUUCUUCGGCUUGAUAAUCCGUAUCGAUGAUUAAUUGCGCUUAGGCUGUUAUCGUAACCUCAUGUAAAUAAUUCCGAGAAAAACAGUAAUAAUAAUGUUCAUUGAUGCUUCAUUUGCGCCUUAAUGCUUCAAGAUAAGAAGAAAAAAAUAAUGGGAACAACUAUCCAUAUUCGUAAUGUCAUCAUUCAAAAUAUAAUUUGGCUCUAGAAAUACAAACUUGACUUUCGAUUGGGCAUAUUCACUGCAUUCCAGGCCGAGGAACUCCCAGUGCAUUAUGUUAUGCUUGACUCUACCUAUACAUGCAUCAAAGAUUAAAGCAGAAGAGGAAGAAAUCGGUAAAAGACAUAAAAAAAAUUGUAAUGAAAUUGUAAAAAGAGUAAUGAUACAUGAAUCAAUCAUCUCAUAUAAUGUCGAUUCAUAUAUAAUCACGAGAAUUAAUUAUAACUAAUUAAAUAAUGAUGGAUGACGAUUUAAAAGCUGUGAUAAUUUUUUUUCUCUAGAAGAAUAUUAAUAUUGUGUAAAACAAAGUAAAGCUUCGGUUUAUUAUGUGACAAAAUCCACAUAUUCAUAAUUUUUAAUAAUAAAAUUUAAAAAAAAUCUGAAAGUCAGCAAGGAAAUCUAUUGAGCAAUAAUGUAAAACUCGCAUACAAAUUUAUUUAUUAUACCAUUUUGUUAAACAUAAUAGUAAAUACAACAAAGAUUUUAGCCGGUUCGAUAUAUAAAUUAAAAAGUCAAAUAAAAUGAAUACAGACUGUAGUCAAUCCCGAAGUAAACAUUGCCUUCGCUUUAUCUUAACUCCAUAUCUCUACGCGAUAAAAGUUUUUGCUAUUGAUUUUGUAUGUCCAUGCAGCUGCUGCGAAAAUCUGUAUUAUCGGAGUCGAUUCAUUCAUUUGUUUAAAAUAUACAAAUUAACUGUAGAAAUUUUUGUUUGGAUUUCGGCUUUCAAAUUUCUAUCAUUGAUAUUUUAUCCAAAUUCAAGUUGCGGAUCUGUUUUUCUUUUAUUUCCGGAAAAUCCGAGAUUGACGGCGGCUCUUGCCUUUAUUUUAUCUCUGUAUACUGCUAUGCAAAUAAGUAUGGUUAAUAGAAGAAAAUUAUCUCUUCAUUUGAUUAAAAGUAGUUACGACGGUGAAUUAGAAUGGGCCGAGCGAAGAAAACAUUACAUGUUAUCUUUCUAUGUUUCUUAUGUUUUCUGUAAUGUGGUCUGUUCUUUCCACAAUUGUAGCUUAUGCCAAACUAAAAGAUGGUAAUGCUAGUGAAAUGAAAGCCAUCGGUUGUACUCUGUCGAUUUCAAUUUGGUUGUUUUAUCUCAGUGGUCAAAGUUUGUCAUUAUUGGCUUGCAGUAAUAUUAUAGGUGUAUUAAUAAGAAGAAGAUUGAUCUGGAGGCACGGCAGUGCCGCCGCCAAGUCGAGCAGUACGGCCGUACCAUCCUUUUCUGGAAGCAACC
rnacentral:lncRNA from 1 species